AGUGAACGCUGGCGGUAGGCCUAACACAUGCAAGUCGAACGGCAGCACAGUAAGAGCUUGCUCUUACGGGUGGCGAGUGGCGGACGGGUGAGGAAUACAUCGGAAUCUACUUUUUCGUGGGGGAUAACGUAGGGAAACUUACGCUAAUACCGCAUACGACCUACGGGUGAAAGCAGGGGAUCUUCGGACCUUGCGCGAUUGAAUGAGCCGAUGUCGGAUUAGCUAGUUGGCGGGUUAAAGGCCCACCAAGUCGACGAUCCGUAGCUGGUCUGAGAGGAUGAUCAGCCACACUGGAACUGAAACACGAUCCAGACUCCUACGGGAGGCAGCAGUGGGGAAUAUUGGACAAUAGGCGCAAGCCUGAUCCAGCCAUACCGCGUGGGUGAAGAAGGCCUUCGGGUUGUAAAGCCCUUUUGUUGGGAAAGAAAAGCAGCAGGUUAAUACCCCGCUGUUCUGACGGUACCCAAAGAAUAAGCACCGGCUAACUUCGUG
rnacentral:rRNA from 1 species